rnacentral:lncRNA from 1 species
CAUUUUGGCCCACUUUGCUCAGGUCAUAAAGCAGGCAAAGAAAGACCGAGAAACAGAUACCCCGGGAAUUUGGUUUCUCUGAGUCUAGCAAGAAACGAAAUACACAUCAAGCCUUGGCUAGGGUAAAGUGAGGAACCAAAAGGGCAGUAAGAGCUAAUGACAUGAUUUUAUAUGAGAAAUCUUACAACAGAAGAGGAGGCCGUGGAGGGGCCUUCAUUGUAAAGAGACCUGCAGAGGAAAAGGAACUGCUAAUGGAUGCUUGGG